rnacentral:lncRNA from 1 species
CAUUAGGUUUUAUGGCUAGGCCUUUUUUUCCUCUUUCUGAACUAGUUUUGUGACUGGGUGGAGCAGGGAGAUGUGGGGGGAAGAAACAAUCACAAUUGAAGACCUUGAACGGUGAUUUCUGUGCUGUGUGUUGGGGUUUGGGGCUCGCUUUGAGGAAGGAAGGUGGUUUUUAAUCGAGGACAAAAGCGAUUGCAGUCCUCUGUGCUCCCUGCAGUGCUGCUGGGGGCGGCGUGGGCCGAGUUUACCUCAGCUCGUGCCAGCGCUGCAGUCACUUCAGCUGUCCUGCUGCUAUUUCUGAGUAAGGUGCUCUCACCCCAUUGCUGACAGGGGACAACGAAAGCCCAAUCUCCUAAGAGAAAUCUACUGCUGGUGCCAGAGCUCUGUGAUUUCUAUCAAAAGAAAAUAAGCGUGAAACAGAAGUUAAAAAUCAUACAUCAAACCCUUCUUUUUGGGUGCUGUUCCUGUGGCUAUGGCAUACACGAUAUCAUGGGCCAUGCCUGGACUUUGAAGGAGGAAGGGGGAGAUGCCUUGAAAAGAGGGAGAAAAUCAAUGUACCCGCUGCUGGCCGAAUUCACCCCCAGAAUUCAGCUGAUGUGCCUCCUGCCUCCAUGUUUGGAGUGCUGGCACAAAAGACGUGGUUAAUGAUGCUCUUUGCAUUUUGCCGUUAUGAUGAGGUAUGUAAUGAUGGG